GCGGGGGCGUGGCACGGGGAGCGCCGUUGGUUGGCCGGCGGCGGGCGGGGGCGGGCCAUGGCCCUUCUGCUGUGCCUGGGCCUGACGGCCUCGCUGGCCCGCGGCUGCCUGCAUUGCCACGGUAACUUCUCGGACAAAUUCUCCUUCUACCGUCACCACGUGAACCUCAAGUCCUGGUGGGUGGGCGACAUCCCCGUGUCGGGCUCGCUGCUCAGCAACUGGAGCCAGGCCACCAUGAAGGAGCUGCACCUCGUCAUCCCCGCGGAGAUCACCCCGGAGAAGCUGGACCAAGUGGCCAACGCCGUGUACAAGCGGAUGGAUCAGCUCUACCAGGGGAAAAUGUAUUUUCCAGGAUACUUCCCCAAUGAGCUGCGAACUAUCUUCUGGGACCAAGUUCGCCUCAUUCAAAACGCCAUCAUUGAAAGCCGCGUCGACUGUCAGCGUCACUGUGGCAUUUUUCUCUACAAGACCAUCUCAUGCACGAACUGCACUGAUUCCCACGUGGUCUGUUUCGGCUACAAUUGCGAGUCCUCGACACAGUGGGAGAAAGCUGUGCAGGGUCUCCUCCAGUACAUAAAUGAGUGGCAAAAGUAAGUCCCCCGACCCGACCCGUGUCCGAGGCUGUGUACGGGCUUGGCCCCUGGGGCAAGUCUGCAGCGGGAGUUAGGGGCCCAGGCAGCCCUGCCAGCCGCUUGGCGGGAGCGGAUUGCAGGCCCCGCCCUGCCCUCACGUCCAUGGGUGGUGAGGCAAGUGGACAGCUGUUCUCGGGCACGGCCCGGGCUCACUGGGUCAUCUGUCUUUCAGAGAGGAAAGCAACACCAGCAGCAGAUCCAUUCCUGCCUUCCCCAUCUCUCAGAGCUUCUCGUGCCUGGAACCCCCCCAACUGGCCAACCUGACCCUGGAAAGUGCUUCUGAGUGCCUGAUGCUGCACUGAGGGCCAGGACUUGGGGUGACAGGCCCAGCUGGGCCCCCCAAGCAGUGGAGCCAGGG